CGCCAGACUCCUACGGGAGGCAGCAGUGGGGAAUAUUGCACAAUGGGGGAAACCCUGAUGCAGCGACGCCGCGUGAGCGAUGAAGUAUUUCGGUAUGUAAAGCUCUAUCAGCAGGGAAGAAAAUGACGGUACCUGACUAAGAAGCCCCGGCUAACUACGUGCCAGCAGCCGCGGUAAUACGUAGGGGGCAAGCGUUAUCCGGAUUUACUGGGUGUAAAGGGAGCGUAGACGGCUGUGCAAGCCAGAUGUGAAAGCCCGGGGCUCAACCCCGGGACUGCAUUUGGAACUGUGUGGCUGGAGUGUCGGAGAGGCAGGCGGAAUUCCUAGUGUAGCGGUGAAAUGCGUAGAUAUUAGGAGGAACACCAGUGGCGAGGGCGGCCUGCUGGACGAUGACUGACGUUGAGGCUCGAAAGCGUGGGGAGCAAACAGGAUUAGAUACCCGUGUA
rnacentral:rRNA from 1 species